GGCGCCAAACAGAGAGAAUUGGUGGCGGGAAACAAAGUUACAGGCACCGCUGCCUUCUUUGUACAAUACAUAUCCAUCGUGGAAAACUAAUCUAUCUCAUAUCAAACCCCUGGCAUCAUCCAAAAUCCUGUCACCAUGGAAGACAACACCACGAUUCUUCCAUAACAGAGUCAUUUCCAGAUCUCACGAACCCCAUGAUCCAUUUGCUAGCCUGGGAACAGAGCAAAUACCGAAGGUAAGAAUAAUAUAUUGUCACUUAAAUUUUCUUAGAUAAGUUGAAUCUGAGUUGAAUUGCUUCAUGGAUCAAUUUUCAUAGUUAUGGGCAUGCAUGUGUGCAUAUGAAAACAAGUAAAAUGAAACUGUAUUGAUCAUUCCCCCCUUCUUUUUACAAUUUUUCAUGGUAAAUACAACAAAUAAAAUUAGGAUCAUGGAAGAAAUGCAUAUUCACAAACAACAGAAGCUCCUGAAGACAUGACGCCAAAAGUCGGAAUGAAAUUUCACUCUGAACAAGAAGCUUAUGACUAUUACAAUGCAUAUGCCCGUGAGAAGGGUUUCAGCAUUAGAAGAAGCAGCUAUCAUAAUUUUGUGGAUUCCAAAAUUAUAAAGAAUAGGACAUUUUGUUGUUCUCGUGAAGGUAUUUUAUUUAUUUGUUUUUGGUUUGAUGAUAUGUUACAUUGGUUAUAUUAGAUUACAAACAAUUUAUUGGAUUAAUAGGAACUAGAGGCAUUGACAAAAGAGCAGAAACUUCAGGCUACGAUAAUAGUUUUAGUCGACCAGAAACUCGAUGCAAGUGCCAAGCAUCUAUGAAGAUAAGUCUUAUAGAUAGAUUAUAUUCUGUCUACCACUUUGUGCCUCAACAUAACCAUGCUCUCGCCACUAGAAGCCAAGCUCACCAGUUAAGGUCACAAAGGAAGAUAACUGAAGCUCAAGUUGCAAAAUCUGUAGGCAUCUCCACUAAAGCAGCCGUUGACCUCUGGCAAAACAAGCUUGCGGAUUUGAAAAUCUUGGCUUCACGCGUGUCGACAUGAAGAAUAAAUUGUACUCAAAGAGGUCACUGCAGACAAAACAAGGUGACACGGGAGGAGUUUUGGAAUAUAUGGAGAAGAAAGCAUCAGAAGAUGCCAGAUUUUUCUAUUCUAUUCAGGUUGAUGAAGAUGGUUUAGUAACCAAUAUUUUUUGGGCCGACUCUAAAAUGGUUGCGGACUAUGAAGAUUUUGGUGAUGUUGUUGGCUUUGACACAGCAUACAGAAAAUUGGAUGACGGGCGUCCUUUUGGUUUGCUUGUAGGAGUGAAUAAUCAUAAGAAGACUACUGUUUUUGGUGCUGCACUCCUAUACGAUGAAACAACUGAUAGUUUUGUUUGGCUAUUUAACACAUUUCUAAAUGCUAUGUCAGGAAAGAAGCCAAAAACAAUUUUGACAGAUGAAGAUGCAGCUAUGGCUAAAGCAAUCAAAAUAGUUCUUCCAGAAACUCAUCACCGGAUCUGUGUAUGGCAUAUGAAUCAAAAUGCAUGCAAGCAUCUUGCCGGGUGUGUUAAGGACUAUAAGAAAUUUAAUAGUGACUUUCAAACAUGCAUAUAUGAUCAAGAGGAGGAAGAAGAAUUUAUAAAAGCAUGGCACAAAUUGCUGGCUGAAUAUAAACUAGAAGAAAACAAAUGGUUGCAGCGGCUUUUCGAGAAAAGGCAUCAAUGGGCACUAGUAUAUGGUCAAAACACAUUCUCUGCUGAUAUGGUUUCUACCCAAAGAAAUGAGAGCUUGAAUAAUGAACUAAAAGGUUAUAUUAGUGUGAAAUAUGAUAUGCUUACCUUUUUUGGGCACUUUGAUAGGUUGGUAGGAGAUAAAAGGUAUGAGGAGGGAAAGUAUGACUUCAGAGCAACACAAAGUACACCAAAGCUAAAGGCAGAGUUGAGAAUACUACAGGAUGUAGUACAAGUUUAUACUCCAGCAGUAUAUAAACUAUUUGAGGAAGAGGUAAUGCAGACUUUGAAUUGUGACAUAUUUUAUUGUGAUGAUAUUGAUACAGAAAAUGUGUACAAAAUAAAAUCUCAUGGCAAGCAUCUGGAACAUGUUGUUAAAUUCUCACCAUUGGAGUCUAGUGUCAAAUGCAGCUGCAAGAAGUUUGAAUUUGUUGGCAUUCUGUGCUCUCAUGCAUUGAAGGUACUUGACAUCAAUAACAUCAAAUCAGUUCCUCAACAGUAUAUACUGAAAAGAUGGACAAUUGAUGCAAAAGUACUUCAUAUAAGUGGAAAUACCAAUAUGCAUGAUGAUCCUAGAAUAAAAUUAUCAGACCGGUACUCCUCACUAUGCAGAAUGUUUGUUAGAAUUGCUUCUCGAGCUGCAAAAUCUGAAGAAACAUAUUCCAUAUCUGCUAGUUGUGCAGAAAAAUUGGCAGAAGAUAUAGAGAAAUGCUUGAAAAUUAGAUGUGAUCCAGACUUAGAGAGCUCCUUUUCUCCACAAGGUUUGUAUAUCAGUUCCAUAUAGUAAUUAUUUGUCCUAUCCUAAUCUGACUAUGCAUGCCAAAUUUAUUUGUGUAGUUACAAAAGAAAUUCAGAAGCCUAGUAAGCCAGUAGGCAUUAAGCUCAAGAAAAAACAAAUACGUGGGUCAGCAAGACCUAUUAGUGGCAUAGAUAAAGCACAAUCACGGAGAAAGAAGAAGAAGACGAACGAGGAUGUCUCAACCACUUCACUACAACCUCAACCAAUGAUGGAGAUGCAGCCGGAACAACAUACUACAGUAAUGGUAUAUUCAACACAUAAUUUAAUCAGAAAAAACUGCAUGGUUUGAUUAUUGCCGCUGACCUUUUUCCAUUAAAUUUUCUUGUAACAGGGUCAUUUUGAGGUUCCCAAUAACCAAUCCUUUUUACACAUAUCAGAGUACAAUGCGGCUUUACAUGCAUCGAUACAUAGUUCAGUUCAUGCUCCUGCGUUAAUGACUCCAGAAAAUGAAGGAUGGCAUCAUGGGCAGCCAAUCCAACAAUUUGACAAUGAUUUUCACUAUAUGUUUAGUUGAAUUUCUUGUCUAUUCAUUUCUAUUUAGUGCUAAAACGAUUUAUAUUUGCAGGUUACUGUUACUGAAUUAUGCACUACAGAGAUUUGUGGUUGUAACUUGUAAAUACAUAUUUAUGCUGGCAUAUCUAGAGCAAAGCAACAAAAGAACAUAUGUAUGGAGUCAUCACCAAACAAAUGCUAAUAGCAGGUCGAGUGGAUCCACUUUAUUGGGCAAGUUAGUAUUAAACACAAUAGGUACCUACAAGCUCCAACAUCUUGAGCUUGCUGCAGCUUGACCGUGAUUGAUACGCUCAUGCUAUGCUAGCGUAGUGGGCGAUGACAACGCUGCUUGUUCUCGGUGGUCUUGGAUUGAACCCGCCACCGUCGCUGGCGUCGGCGUCGGCGCCGCUGCCGCCGUCGACGCCACUGCUGCUGUAGUUGCCCCCGUCACCGUCGCCGCUGCAGCCGUCAUCGCUGCUGGCCGAGGGCAUGAUGUUGGCUGGCAGCAUAGCUACUAAUAGAUUGGGGAAUUUGGGGCCUUGAGGCUCUGUAGAAAGAAAUGGGGAUUUUUGCUUGCCUAUACAUGAACGUUCCCUGUACACCGGUCAAGAAGAAGCUGAGCUGACC
rnacentral:lncRNA from 1 species